UCGUCCUCAAAAUGUUACAAAUUUUAUGUUUCUAUUGUUUUUUUACAACACUCUCUCUCUCUAACCUAAUCGGCGUUGUAGAGAGAAGAAGUAAAAAAGACAUGCUCGUUACCACUGAACCUUCAUCGUCUAACGAUAACGGAUUUGAAGAAGUACCAGACGAGGAUCCAAAAGAAGAACCAGACGAAUCUGAUGGUAAUGGGGACGAUGAUGAAGAAGAUAAAAUGGAUUCUGGGCAAAAUGAUUCUAGCCAAGAAGUCGAGUUUAAGGGACACGAUGAAGACCUUGAACUAGGGAAAUCAAAAGGGGUUGCUUUUGAAGUAAAUGUAGCAGGAUGUUUUGCCCAUGAUCAUGUUGAUGAGAUGCCAAGAUUACAAGGAAAAGAAGCAUCUAAGGAGGCUCGUGAAAGUUUAGUGAAGCACGAUGGUGAUGCAACUCAUUUAAACAAUAAAUUCUUGCCCUCUAACGAGAAAGAGGUAGCUAGCAAUUUCUUGGUUAGAAAUCGUUCUGGAUAUAAGCUGUUAAGUAAUGUGCAAGUAAGCUCUGAGGAAAAAAACAGUCAAUCAGGGGAUAACGCCAAUCUAAGGUCAUCAAGUCUAAUCACUCCACAGAUACAACCUAGGAGUCAAUCCUCUAGCGCUGAGCCCGAGGACAAGAACAAAAUACCUGCAACAGCAUGCAAGAUUUUUGCCAAGGGUCGGUGCACCAAGAGGGAUUCAUGUAGGAUUGCUCAUAAAAAAGAUAGUGUUCUCAAUACUAGCAACAUGGCUAAGGAUGAUGAUGAAGUUGUUGAAAGUUUAAAAGGUGGACUGCGGGUCGAUGCAGGUUCAAGGCAAAUUGCUAAAAAGUCUAAAUUUUCAUCUACUGAGUCGAUGUCUUCGGCAGUUGUUGGUUACCCUUCCUUGUGCUCACAUUUUUCUUCCGAAAGGAACCUACUCGAGGAGCAUGAAGAAAGCCAAAGGUCAGGUAAGACUUCCGAAGAUCAUAAACAAUUGCCUUUGACAAGGGAUGAUCCGAGCCUCAUAUCGGUAGACUAUGUGGGUGAUGAGACUAAGAAACGAAAUAUCUCUCUUGAAAAGUGCUCCAUUGAUGCUUCACCAGAUGUUCGACGUGCUCUUCAAAAAUCCAUCAAUCCUCGGAUUGAUGAUCCAACUAUUUCUUCAUCAAGUUUGAUCCCUUGGAAUUCCUAUCUUGAAGAAGACUAUAAGCAGUCUUCUCAAGUUCCUUCGCUUAGUAGUAACCGUCAUGUUCAUUCUAAUCACAUGUCCAGGAAUAAAGAACUUGUGAGCGGAUAUGGAUUGGUGCAAAAUAACAUAGUUCCGAAUCAUAGUCUUUUAUCAAGUAAUGCUGGUGCACCUUCAAGCGUUUAUGGCAAGCAUACCUCUUUUGCUUAUGGUAAGUGUGGUGCUGAAACCAGUGCGCAUCAGAAUCUAAAUAGUAAUCCUGUGUGCUUUGAUGGCCAUGCUUCUCCAGGUUUUUAUAAUUCGUUGAACUCAAGAUCCGAACAUUUUUUCCCUUCUAUGGGCAUGGCGUCGCUGCAGCGUCCUUUUGAAUCCUCUAGAAUUUCACCUUCUCAAGGGUCCUCUCCUAUGAGACAUUACACGUUAUUUGAUACUGGUCAGGGAAUUUUUUCUUCCAGAUCCACCUCUGUACCUAAAACCCUCUCUUCGCUUUUCUAUUCUAGGCCUGAACCAGACAAUCUGCCUUCAUGUAUUGCCACAGUUGAUCGAAUGGACUAUAUUAGAUAUGCUCGCGAGUAUAACUGGGAACCUUCUGUUCCAUUUCAACCAUCUCUCUGUCUUCCGUCAAACUUAAAAUCAUCUCCUGAAAGUCAAUACGACCCUCUUCUUGAUAGCAUUGAGUUACCUAAUGUAGGUGAUAGGUCCUUACAAUCUUCUUCCUUGACUGAAGGUGUCGUCGUCCAAAAUACAUCACAAAGAAAUGCUGAUUCUGUCGGCCUUGACCAGCAUACAGAGAGUGUUUGUUUAGACAACAGCAAAUGCAAUCAUAGUCCACCCAAGGAUGCACCUUCAAGUGAAGCUACAAGAGAUUUUGUCGCUGAGAAACAAACUAACAUUCUUGUGCCAAAAGAUGAGAAGCCUUUAAAACAUGAUCAUGCUGUAAUUGCUUCAAAUGCCAAGGAAGUACGCCCUGAUCGUAGUCAUGGGCAAAUAGAUGGGUAUAAGCAGAAGAAGGAAACUAAAGCACAGAAAGUUUUUCGUGUUUCACUUGUUGAUUUUGUUAAAGAAUUGGUUAGGCCAUAUUGGCUUGAAGGCCAGGUUAGCAAGGACAUGCACAAUGUGAUUGUAAAGAAAGCAGUUGAGAAGGUCCUUAGCACAUUGCAGCCGCAUCAAAUUCCUAGCACCCCUCAGUUUGUUGAUCAGUAUCUUCUCACGUCCCUUCCUAAACUUAAAAAGCUUGUUGAGGGAUAUGUUAGUAAAUAUGUGAAAUCUGAGCUGCAACGGAAGUAAUGGAGUCUGUAUAUAUGCCUUGACAUGAUACUAGCAUGAUUUUUAAGUACUAGGUUGUGCUUCUACCUUGUAGGGUGGUAGUCAUGCCGUCUGUUGUUUCAGGGCAUUUCUUCAUGCUAUGUUUCCUCCAUGGAAAUAUUAGCCAUUGUUCCUUGCAUCAUCUCAGCUUGAACACUCUUAGUUUUCUGUUGGAAUUUUUAAGGACUGAAGAUUUCAGAGUUGGCUGAAAAAGAGCAGCGGUUUGAACUUAUAUUUAUGCCAUUAUUCUGGAGGAUCAUAAUUGUGGCAAUAAACAUCAUUUGAAAGUAGUACAGGAAUGUGUAUGAGACCACGAGUGUCACACUGUAGUUAUUUGGAUUUAGCUGGAUCGUAGCAACUCUCCGUCGAUGAACAAACUCUCCUCUUUUAUUUUGUGAAAGGUAUGGAACUUCAGAGUAAAGGGCUUAUUGUUAACUCCCAAAGUAGCUGUUUACAUUUCCUUUUCUUUCUUUUUUUCUUUUCUCUGUGUGUGUGCGUGUUUGGUAAGUAAGUGGUGUUCUUGUAGAGUCCAAAUAGAGUGUCUACCCCAUACUCUAAAUUAAAUUCCCAUUUCAGCAUUGCGUAUAAAGAUCAGUUCGAAAGGCAUACAGCAGUAAGUAAAAUUUCAGUGCUUUUAGUAAUUCCUCUUGUUAAUUAGCAUACAUCAAAUGUCACAAUAUCACAUCUAGUUAUUUGGCCCAGUGGUAUUCCACUAUUUGAAAUGUAUCAAAUAACGAAAGUAGAGGUGAAAUACACAUGCAGAUAUCCUGUGUUUUGGGACUUCAUCAGGAAUGCUGGAUAUCCUACUGAUUGUACACAAGGUUGCAGCUUUCUUGUGAGUUUCCGUUCUAGAUUGUUCAAAACAUUGUAGGGUCAUACAAUUCAAGGCUCUGUGACUGAAUUCCUAGACUAGGUUUUUUUUUUUUUUUUUGGGCGUGUCAUUCAUGAACCUGUAAGGAAUUGGUUCAAAAUUUCUUUCACAUCAUGUCGCAUGUCUUUUCUUUUCUGGCAAGACACAUUAUUCUCUUU